UUUCCGUAGGUGAACCUGCGGAAGGAUCAUUAAUGAGUUGUCAUGGGGUUCGAUGCUGGCAGCCAGUUUUUGGAUGCAUGUGCUUACCCUAACAAUCAUCUUCUUCCAAACACCUGUGCACAUUUUUGAGGGAGUCUUGAGUUGGUUGCCGCUCUUGGGUGAUUUUCUCACAUUCCCUUAAAUCAUUAUACGCUAUUAACAAUGUUGAACGUGCUCUGUGCCGCAAGGCCAUUAAUAUAAUACAACUUUUAACAACGGAUCUCUUGGCUCUC
rnacentral:misc_RNA from 1 species